GGAGAGAUGGCAGAGUGGUCGAAUGCGCCGGAUUCGAAAUCCGGUUUAGUGCUUGCACUAACGGGGGUUCGAAUCCCCCUCUCUCCGCCA
rnacentral:tRNA from 2 species